rnacentral:misc_RNA from 1 species
AAGGUCAAGGAAGGCGACCGUCAGGCGCCGGAAGGCUUCUACUCGAUUACCCCCGCGCAGAUGAAUCCGACGUCGGCGUAUUUCCUGUCGUUCAACAUGGGCUAUCCCAAUGCCUACGAUAAGGCAUGGGGCCGCACCGGAUCGCAGUUGAUGGUCCACGGCGAUUGCUCGUCGCGCGGCUGCUACGCGAUGACCGACGAGCCGAUCU